GGGAGCGUUCUGUAAGCCUGCGAAGGUGUACUGUGAGGUAUGCUGGAGGUAUCAGAAGUGCGAAUGCUGACAUAAGUAACGAUAAAGCGGGUGAAAAGCCCGCUCGCCGGAAGACCAAGGGUUCCUGUCCAACGUUAAUCGGGGCAGGGUGAGUCGACCCCUAAGGCGAGGCCGAAAGGCGUAGUCGAUGGGAAACAGGUUAAUAUUCCUGUACUUGGUGUUACUGCGAAGGGGGGACGGAGAAGGCUAUGUUGACCGGGCGACGGUUGUCCCGGUUUAAGCGUGUAGGCUGGUUUUCCAGGCAAAUCCGGAAAACUAAGGCUGAGGCGUGAUGACGAGGCACUACGGUGCUGAAGCAACAAAUGCCCUGCUUCCAGGAAAAGCCUCUAAGCAUCAGGUAACAUCAAAUCGUACCCCAAACCGACACAGGUGGUCAGGUAGAGAAUACCAAGGCGCUUGAGAGAACUCGGGUGAAGGAACUAGGCAAAAUGGUGCCGUAACUUCGGGAGAAGGCACGCUGAUAUGUAGGUGAAGCGACUUGCUCGUGGAGCUGAAAUCAGUCGAA
rnacentral:rRNA from 1 species